UACGUAGGGUGCAAGCGUUAAUCGGAAUUACUGGGCGUAAAGCGUGCGCAGGCGGUUUUGUAAGCCAGAUGUGAAAUCCCCGGGCUCAACCUGGGAAUGGCAUUUGGGACUGCAAGGCUGGAGUUUGGCAGAGGAGACUGGAAUUCCCGGUGUAGCAGUGAAAUGCGUAGAUAUCGGGAGGAAUACCGAUGGCGAAGGCAGGUCUCUGGGCCGCAACUGACGCUGAGGAGCGAAAGCAUGGGGAGCGAACAGG
rnacentral:rRNA from 1 species